GAAGCACGCCCACUGCCUACUUGAGACUCCCUCUCCCGCUUCUCAUCAGGAGCAGCCCAGACGUCUGUACAGCGUGUAAGGACCGCUGUGAUGGGUGCCCGGUCCGCCCUGGAAGCUGUACGUUCUCUGAUAAACUCUCGUCGAAACCACUGUUAGCGGGGCUUCUAUUCUAUGCAGUCAGAGUGAGGACCAUCAAAGUUAAGUACCUUGGCCUAAAGUCCUAAAACUGGACACAUGAAGCCUGACACAGACACUCUGAUGCACCGCAGAGCACGCAUCACCUGCGAGAAGCCUGCGCGGGCCCGAAGGGCGAGGUUCCCGGGGACACCCGUGAAGCAGGACCUGGCACCCAGGAGAGACUGGGCCCGGGGUCGCCACUGAUGUGGCCAAGACUCAGCGCAGACUGCCUGCACCCACAGAGGCUCUCACCGAUAUUCAGGAAAGUGCCUCAUCUUACUCUUCAGUCAAUAACAUGAUUUGAAGGGGCACAUCUUUUCCAAUGAUCAUUUUCCAAGUACUUUUUUUAGGCUAAAAAUAUUCAGAGUGCUUUUCAAAUACAAGCACCACGAUGAUCUUAAAAAAAGAAAUCAAUCCUUUCCAGUUAAAGUAAAA